CAGCCGCCGCGGUAAGACAGAGGAUGCAAGCGUUAUCUGGAAUGAUUGGGCGUAAAGCGACUGUAGGUGGCUUUUCAAGUCUGCAGUCAAAUCCCGAGGCUCAACCCUGGACAGGCGGCGGAAACUACCAAGAUGGAGUACGGUAGGGGCAGAGGGAAUUUCCGGCGGAGCGGUGAAAUGCGUUGAGAUCGGAAAGAACACCAACGGUGAAAGCACUCUGCUGGGCCGACACUGACGCUGAGAGACGAAAGUUAGGGGAGAAAAUGGGAUUAGAUACCCCAGUAGUCCCUGUCUCUUAUAC
rnacentral:rRNA from 1 species